rnacentral:tRNA from 1 species
GGGCAUGUAGCUCAGUGGUAGAGUGCAUGCUUAGCAUACAUGAAGCAGUGGGUCUGAUCCCUAACAUGCGCA